rnacentral:rRNA from 1 species
UACGAAGGGUGCAAGCGUUACUCGGAAUUACUGGGCGUAAAGCGUGCGUAGGUGGUUUGUUAAGUCUGAUGUGAAUGCCCUGGGCUCAACCUGGGAAUGGCAUUGGAAACUGGCUGACUAGAGUGCGGUAGAGGGUAGUGGAAUUCCCGGUGUAGCAGUGAAAUGCGUAGAUAUCGGGAGGAACAUCUGUGGCGAAGGCGACUACCUGGACCAGCACUGACACUGAGGCACGAAAGCGUGGGGAGCAAACAGG